AUCGAACGCUGGCGGCAGGCCUAAUACAUGCAAGUCGAACGAGUGGCGGACGGGUGAGUAAUGUUUGGGAAUCUGCCUGAUGGAGGGGGAUAACUACUGGCAACGGUAGCUAAUACCGCAUACCAUCGGAUGUGCCCAGAUGGGAUUAGCUAGUAGGUGGGGUAAAGGCUCACCUAGGCGAAGAUCCCUAGCUGGUCUGAGAGGAUGACCGACCACACUGGAACUGAGACACGGUCCGAACUCCUACGGGAGGCAGCGUUGGGGAAUAUUGCACAAGGGGCGCAAGCCGGAUGCAGCCAUGCCGCGUGUAUGAAGAAGGCCUUCGGGUUUUAAAGUACUUUCAGCGGGAAGGCGUUACCCUCAGAAGAAGCACCGGCUAACUCCGUGCCAGCAGCCGCGGUAAUAC
rnacentral:rRNA from 1 species